GCCCUUGUCGUCUAGUCCGGUCAAGGAUUUCGGACUCUCAAUCCGAAGACCCGGGUUCAAAUCCCGGCGAGGGCA
rnacentral:tRNA from 1 species